CUUCUUCCCUAGAGAGGGCACCAAUUCUUGAAGGUUUAUGAUUUCUUCUUACUGAAUUAACCAGAGACAGAAUGUUGAUGGAAUAUUUAAAAUUACCCUCUUUCUCUAUGGUCCCACAUCUUCACCAUUCACACAAAGUACUUCCACAGGCAUUGGCAGAAGCCUAAUCCACUCUUUUGCUACAAGCUUUCACUUCCCACUCCUUGGGGCCCAUGUUAUGUGAAGAAAUCCAUCCAGUGUGUCCCAGAAGUAGCAGCCAAGCACCAGUGGUGUCAUCAUGCAUAUGAUUGGCUGAAGAAUGUGAACUUUUUUUAUAUCUGUCUCCACCAAUUUUGAAGAAAGAACAUGGGUUUUCAAUAAUCUAUGAACUUCAAUAUCUCCUUGCUGAAGAUAGAUUGCCACCUAGUAGGAGGUAAGGUUUCACUUCCUCCAGCUAUUACAGCCUCCUAUCCAUAUGUCAGAGGUGGCAGCUGCAGAUGAAUGAAAUGUAAGCUUGCUUUGUGAACUCUAUUUUCUAGUGCAGAGAAUCCCAAGAGGAAUUGAAGCAAUGCUAGAGUCACAGAAGUUUUCUGGCUUUCCCCCUGACUCACCUCCCCCCAAAUAUUUUCAGGGCUUGGUUAUUUCAGGAAAAGCAUAGACUCUUGUGACCAAAGUUUAAAUUAAAAUUUCAGUUGGGAAAGCUAUUUCUAGCACAGACAGUUUCUUUAUUGGAAAUGACUCCAGGCUUGGUGGACAAUGAUUAUGGCCUCUCUGGGAAUGAAAGAAGUGUUUUAGAUUAUUUGCUUUUUAUUUUGUUUUGUUUUGAGCUUUUAAUCUAACUAGAUGGAGAAGAGGAAGAGGAAGAGGGAAAGGUAAAAUGUAUCUUUCCAUUUGUGAUUUAUAGAUAAAAAAAAUAUUCCAUGUGUUCUACAUUGGGAUCAUUUAACUAAAAAAAACACAAACAAAAACAAACAAACACACACACGCACGCACGCACGCACACACACAUACAGUUCUUAACUAAACCAAAUUAAAAAGAUUUCUUACUUUAUGCUUGAAAAAC